rnacentral:rRNA from 1 species
GACGAACGCUGGCGGCGUGCCUAACACAUGCAAGUCGAGCGAAGUGAGUACUACGGUACGAACUUAGCGGCGGACGGGAGAGUAACGCGUGGACAAUCUACCCUGUAGACUGGGAUAACACCUCGAAAGGGGUGCUAAUACCGGAUAACGUCGAGAAGCGGCAUCGCUUUUCGAAGAAAGGAGAGAAUCCGCUAUAGGAGGAGUCCGCGUCCCAUUAGCUAGUUGGUGAGGGUAACGGCCCACCAAGGCGACGAUGGGUAGCCGGCCUGAGAGGGUGAACGGCCACACUGGAACUGAGACACGGUCCAGACUCCUACGGGAGGCAGCAGUGGGGAAUAUUGUGCAAUGGGGGAAACCCUGACACAGCAACGCCGCGUGAGCGAAGAAGGCCUUCGGGUUGUAAAGCUCAAUAGUAUGGGAAGAUAAUGACGGUACCAUACGAAAGCCCCGGCUAACUACGUGCCAGCCGCCGCCGUAAUAC